rnacentral:rRNA from 1 species
CCUACGGGCGGCAGCAGUGAGGAAUAUUGGUCAAUGGGCGCGAGCCUGAACCAGCCAAGUAGCGUGAAGGAUGAAUGCCCUACGGGUUGUAAACUUCUUUUAUAAAGGAAUAAAGUGAGUCACGUGUGCCUUUUUGUAUGUACUUUAUGAAUAAGGAUCGGCUAACUCCGUGCCAGCAGCCGCGGUAAUACGGAGGAUACGAGCGUUAUCCGGAUUGAUUGGGUUUAAAGGGAGCGUAGAUGGGCUGUUAAGUCAGUUGUGAAAGUUUGCGGCUCAUCCGUAAAAUUGCAAUUGAUACUGGCAGCAUUGAGUAUAGUAGAGGUAGGCGGAAUUCGUGGUGUAGCGGUGAAAUGCUUAGAUAUCACGAAGAAUUCCGAUGGCGAAGGCAGCUUACUAGACUGCCACUGACAUUGAUGUUCGAAAGUGUGGGUAGCAAACAGGAUUAGAUACCCUAGUAGUC